UACGUAGGGAGCAAGCGUUGUCCGGAAUCAUUGGGCGUAAAGCGCGCGUAGGUGGCCCCAUAAGUCCGCUGUGAAAGUCAAAGGCUCAACCUUUGAAAGCCGGUGGAUACUGUGGGACUAGAGUACGGAAGAGGCGAGUGGAAUUCCUGGUGUAGCGGUGGAAUGCGCAGAUAUCAGGAGGAACACCGGUGGCGAAGGCGGCACUCUGGGCCGGUACUGACGCUGAGGAGCGAAAGCGUGGGGAGCGAACAGG
rnacentral:rRNA from 1 species